rnacentral:rRNA from 1 species
AGUGAACGCUGGCGGUAGGCCUAACACAUGCAAGUCGAACGGCAGCACAGUAAGAGCUUGCGCUUACGGGUGGCGAGUGGCGGACGGGUGAGGAAUACAUCGGAAUCUACUUUUUCGUGGGGGAGAACGUAGGGAAACUUACGCUAAUACCGCAUACGACCUACGGGUGAAAGCAGGGGAUCUUCGGACCUUGCGCGAUUGAAUGAGCCGAUGUCGGAUUAGCUAGUUGGCGGGGUAAAGGCCCACCAAGGCGACGAUCCGUAGCUGGUCUGAGAGGAUGAUCAGCCACACUGGAACUGAGACACGGUCCAGACUCCUACGGGAGGCAGCAGUGGGGAAUAUUGGACAAUGGGCGCAAGCCUGAUCCAGCCAUACCGCGUGGGUGAAGAAGGCCUUCGGGUUGUAAAGCCCUUUUGUUGGGAAAGAAAAGCAGCAGGUUAAUACCCCGCUGUUCUGACGUUACCCAAAGAAUAAGCACCGGCUAACUUCGUG